UAAUACAUGCAAGUCGAGGGGGCAGCAAUGUCACCGGCGAACGGGUGCGUACACGUAUGCAACCUACCUAUAUCACGGGGAUAGCCCGAGGAAACUCGGAUUAAUACCGCAUAACAUUAGGAUCGGCAUCUAUUUUACUUAAAAUAUUUAUUGGAUAUAGAUGGGCAUGCGUAGGAUUAGCUAGUUGGUAAGGGAACGGCUUACCAAGGCUACAAUCCUUAGGGGCUCUGAGAGGAGUAUCCCCCACACUGGCACUGAAAUACCGGCCACACUCCUACUGGAGGCAGCAGUAGGGAAUAUUGGGCAAUGGGCGAAAGCCUGACCCAGCCAUGCCGCGUGCACGACGACGGCCCUCUGGGUUGUAAACUGCUUUUGAAUGGAAAGAAAGGUAUGCUUGCGAGCGUAAUUGACGGUACCAUUAGAAUAAGCCACGGCUAACUACGUGCCAGCAGCCGCGGUAAUACCUACGUGGCGAGCGUUAUCCGGAUUUAUUGGGUUUAAAGGGUGCGUAGGCGGCUUUUUAAGUCGGUGGUUAAAGGUAACACCUCAACUGUUUUACAUGCUGCCGAUACUGAAGAGCUUGAGUUAUUGGAAGGCAGAUGGAAUUCCUGGUGUAGCGGUGAAAUGCAUAGAUACCAGGAGGAACACCAAUUGCGAAGGAAUUCUGCUGCAAAUAUACUGACUCUGAAGCACGAAAGAGUGUGGAUCAAACAGGAUUAGAUACCCUGGUAGUCCACGCCGUAUACGAUGAUUACUAGUUGUUGGGCUUCAUUGCUCAGUGAUCAAGGGAAACCGAUAAGUAAUCCACCUGGGGAGUACGCCGGCAACGGAGAACUCCAGGAAUUGACAGGGGUCCGCACAGCGGUGGACCAUGUGGUUUAAUUCGAUGACACGCUAGGACCUUA
rnacentral:rRNA from 1 species